rnacentral:rRNA from 1 species
GUGCACCAGGCGAGAAACUUUACAAUGUGCGAAAGCACGAUAAGGGAACUCUGAGUGCCUCCUAAGGAGGCUGUUCUGAUGUCUAAAAGCAACAGAAGUAAGGGCUGGGUAAGACCGGUGCCAGCCGCCGCGGUAACACCGGCAGCCCAAGUGGUAGCCACGUUUAUUGGGUCUAAAGCGUUCGUAGCCGGCCAGGUGAGUUCCUUGGUAAAUUUAGCCGCUUAACGGUUAAGCUUUCGGGGAAUACUGCUUGGCUUGGGACUGGGAGAGGUCAGAGGUACUCCGGGGGUAGGGGUGAAAUCUAUUAAUCCCUGGGGGACCACCGGUAGCGAAGGCGUCUGACCAGACCAGGUCCGACGGUGAGGGACGAAGGCUAGGGGCGCGAACCGGAUUAGAUACCCCCGUAGU